AGUGCCGCCUCCACGUGGCGCUGCCUGGGAUCACUAGUGGCUACUACUGCUAGUGAUGCUAAGAGCACUACAUACUAGAAGAAUAUACUAAAGCUGAAAUAAAGAUGAAAUAUCAAGUGGAAUGAUACUCAAGACUGAAACAAGAGAUUUAUAUACUAGUUUUAAUCUUUUUAAGAAAUAAUUCUUUUAAAUUUUAA